GCAUUGGUGGUUCAGUGAUAGAAUUCUUGCCUGGCAUGCAGAAGACCUGGGUGUGAUCUCAGCCAACACA
rnacentral:tRNA from 1 species